AUGUGCUCUCCAUUGUGGGGUUUGGAGGGCUGGGGAAGACAAUCCGACGAGGACUUCCCCCGCCAGGCGGUGGUGUCUGUUUCACAAGCAUUCGAUGGCGAGAAGGACAUGAAGCGACUGCUAGUACAGGUGAUCCAGCAGAUCCUCAAGGAGACACAGAAUGAUAAGCAAAAGGAGGAGGAGGAUAAACAAACUAUCACGGCGGAUGUCAUGGGUUCAAGCAGCCGUGCCAACCCACUUCAAAUCACCGACAUGGAAGUGCAAGACUUGUCCAUCAAGAUUAAGGAGCUCCUCAAUUGCAAUAGGUGUCUCAUUGUGGUCGAUGAUGUAUGGAGCCUGCCAACCUGGGAAGCUAUCCGCAUCAGAUUGCUAGAAAAAAAUUGCGCCAGCAGAAUCAUUGUGACAACUCGAAUAGAAGUGGUGGCCAAGGCAGCUAGUGUCUCCGACAAAUUUGUCCAUCAUAUGAAGCCCCUGGAACUAAAGGCUAGUGAGGAAUUGUUCGUGAAGAGAGUAUUUGGCUCCAUGGCUGCUUGCCCCGAUGGACUGAAAAAAGAAAUGAACACGAUUUUGAAAAAAAUGUGGUGGAUUGCCGUUGGCAAUCAUUAG
rnacentral:rRNA from 1 species